GCCUUUUUAGCUUAGCGGCAAAGCGUCAGUCUUGUAAACUGAAGAUCCUGGGUUCAAUUCCCAGAGGAGGCU
rnacentral:tRNA from 1 species